rnacentral:rRNA from 1 species
AUAGCGUAUAUUAAAGUUGUUGCAGUUAAAAAGCUCGUAGUUGAACUUCAGACCUGGCUGGAUGGUCUGCCUAACGGUAUGUACUGUCCGGCUGGGCCUUACCUCUUGGUGAGCCGGCAUGCCCUUCACUGGGUGUGUCGGGGAACCAGGACUUUUACUUUGAAAAAAUUAGAGUGUUCAAAGCAGGCCUAUGCCCGAAUACAUUAGCAUGGAAUAAUAAAAUAGGACGUGCGGUUCUAUUUUGUUGGUUUCUAGGAUCGCCGUAAUGAUUAAUAGGGAUAGUUGGGGGCAUUAGUAUUCAGUUGCUAGAGGUGAAAUUCUUGGAUUUACUGAAGACUAACUACUG